rnacentral:rRNA from 1 species
AUUGAACGCUAGCGGCAUGCCUUACACAUGCAAGUCGAACGGAGUGGCGAACGGGCGGGUGAUGUCUCUGUACGUGCCCACUCGCGGGGGAUAACUACGCGCUAGCGUCGCUAAUUCCGCAUACUCUUGGCGCGGCCGACAUCGGAUUAGCUAGUUGGUGGGUUAACGGCUCACCUAGGCGACGAUCCGUAGCUGGUUUGAGAGGAUGAACAGCCACACUGGGACUGAGACACGGCCCAGACUCCUACGGGAGGCAGCAGUGGGGAAUUUUGGACAAUGGGGGAAAGCCUGAGCCAGCCAUGCCGCGUGUGCGAAGAAGGCCUUCGGGUUGUAAAGCACUUUUGGUAGGAAAGCGGUACCGACAGAAGAAGCACCGGCUAACUCCGUGCCAGCAGCCGCGGUAAUAC